UACGGAGGAUGCGAGCGUUAUCCGGAUUUAUUGGGUUUAAAGGGAGCGCAGACGGGUCGUUAAGUCAGCUGUGAAAGUUUGGGGCUUAACCUUAAAAUUGCAGUUGAUACUGGCGUCCUUGAGUGCGGUUGAGGUGUGCGGAAUUCGUGGUGUAGCGGUGAAAUGCUUAGAUAUCACGAAGAACUCCGAUUGCGAAGGCAGCACACUAAUCCGUAACUGACGUUCAUGCUCGAAAGUGUGGGUAUCAAACAGG
rnacentral:rRNA from 1 species